rnacentral:rRNA from 1 species
AUGGAGGAACACGUCCACAGACGUUUGCGAGUGGCAUGGGAUCACCUGCAGCACGGUGUUCCCUCGUCGUGUGAUUGCCCUAGACCUUGGCUCACAAGGCAUCUCAGGCUCCAUAUCACCUUGCGUUGCCAACCUGACCUCUCUCUUGAAAGGCUGCAGCUGUCAAACAAUAACUUCAAUGGUGGCAUACCAUCAAAGCUUGGCCUCCUGAGCCGGCUCUGUGAGCUCAACCUCAGCAAGAACACUUUGGAAGGUAACAUACCGCCAUCUCUGGGUAGCAGCCAUUCUCUUACAUAUGUCAAUCUUGGGAUGAAUGCUCUAACAGGGGUCAUCCCGGAGUCCCUAGCAAAUAGUUCAUCCCUCCAAGUACUUAGGCUCAUGAGCAAUAGGCUUAGUGGAAAACUACCAAAGGCUUUCUUCAACACAUCAUCUCUUCUUGACAUUUCCCUCCAACAGAACAACCUUGUUGGUUCUAUACCUGUUGUUUCUGCCACCGCUCCCCCUAUUCAAUACCUCGAUUUAAGGCACAAUCAUAUUUCAGGAAAAAUACCCUCCUCGCUAGGGAACCUUUCCUCCCUCAUCGAUCUUCGUCUUACAGAAAAUAAUUUAGUAGGGCGUAUACCAGACAGCUUAGGUCAUAUCUCAACACUGGAGAUACUAGCCUUGACAGCCAACAACUUGUAUGGGACAGUUCCACCAUCUCUCUUCAAUAUGUCAUCACUGACAUUUCUUGGCGUAGCAAACAACUCGCUUGUUGGAAGGUUACCCUCCAAUAUUGGCAACACACUCCCGAGUAUUCAGACAUUAGGCCUCUCAACAAACAAGUUUGAUGGCCCAAUCCCAGCUUCUCUUCCCAAAGCUUACAACCUUCGUCAGCUUUACCUGUAUAAUAACAGCCUAACUGGGUUUAUACCAUUCUUUGGGUCAUUGCCAAAUUUGGAGGAGCUUGAUUUGUCAUACAACAAGCUAGAAGCAGGAGACUGGGAAUUUGUCUCUUCACUCGCAUUGUACCAGGUUGACUAUGCUGACAUUGGAUGGGAACAAUCUUCAAGGCGAAAUGCCAAGUUCGAUAGGCAAUCUUUCUGA